rnacentral:rRNA from 1 species
AACGAACGUUAGCGGCGCGCUUAACACAUGCAAGUCGUGCGAGAAAGGGGCAACCCCGGUAAAGCGGCGCACGGGUGAGUAACACGUAGAUAAUCUACCCUCAGGUGGUGGAUAACCUUCCGAAAGGAGGGCUAAUACAGCAUGAGACCACGACCCCGAAAGGGGAUGAGGUCAAAGCCGGCCUCUUCAUGAAAGCUGGCGCCAGAGGAUGAGUCUGCGGCCCAGCAGCUAGUUGGUAGGGGAACGGCCUACCAAGGCGAAGACGGGUAGCUGGUCUGAGAGGAUGAUCAGCCACACUGGAACUGAGACACGGUCCAGACUCCUACGGGAGGCAGCAGUGGGGAAUCUUGCGCAAUGGGCGAAAGCCUGACGCAGCGACGCCGCGUGAGUGAUGAAGGCCUUCGGGUUGUAAAGCUCUGUGGAGGGGGACGAAUAAGUCGUGGCCAACAUCCACGAUGAUGACGGUACCUCUUUAGCAAGCACCGGCUAACUCUGUGCCAGCCGCCGCCGUAAAAC